GUCAUCCAUUCCCAAUCAUGUUUCUAAUCUCUGGCCUGUACUUCCUGCUUCUCCUACAGGCGCAGACUUGGACGACCGGCGAUGACGAGGGUUCAACGAGAGAUGAGUUCUAUGAUGAUGAAGACCUGUACUCGGGCUCCGGCUCUGGAUUUCCUGAGAUCAGCGUGAGGCCGACCUCCGUGAGCGUGUCCUUCACCACAGAAGAGCCCCUAAUCCUGUCCACCACCCAGGCCACGAACCCCGCCCCCUCUGCCUCCCCCGCCGCCGAGCCCAGUCCCAAUCCAGACCCCACGGUCAUCAGCACCACGCUACAGCCCACCACGACGGAGGCCGACGGCGAGAGCGGAGUGUUCUGGGACCUGGAUAAGGAGGAGAAAGAGAAGGAGCGGCAGAAGGAGCUGGAGCGCCAGGCCGAACGGGAACGGGAGAGGGAGCGCGAGCGGGAACGUGUUCGUGAGCUGGAGAGAGAGAAGGAGAGGGAGCGGGAGAGAGAGCUGGAGCGACAGAGAGAGAGGGAGAGAGAGCGCGAGCUGGAGCGCAUCCGGGUCGCCGCACAGACGACCACUGCCCCAUAGUGACCACCACCAACCCGGCCACGAGCACGGCCGAGACCCCCGCGCCAUCUCCUGGAGCGGACGGCCUGGGCACCACCGAGGAAGAGGAUGACGACGUGUACCUGUCGCCAGAGCCCACGUCACCGUACGCAGGGUUUGACACGGACUUCACCACAGAGGACGACAUGACCACAGCCGAGCCCACGCCAGAGCCCACCACCACAGCGACACCCAUCACCACGACAACUGCACCCACCACCACCAUCAGGACCAAGGUGCCAUUCAGGCCGAGGUUUCCCAUGGCAACCACUCCGCUGCGCCCACAACGAGAGCACAGCAGCCCACGACAACGCAGGUAAGGGCCAAUGCGAGCAGAAGACUACAUAAAGUUAUGGUUAAAAGUUGAAAGUGUUACAGUUCUGCCCUGAAUUCAGCCAGUCAUGUGAAUCUGCACCAUCAACUAAACAUUGCUUCUUUUAUAUUACAGAAAAAGUUGAGGACCAGUCAGAAUUUAAGCUAAGAACAAGAGAUGGUUUGAGAGUUGUAUGAAAGAGGCAAUUUUUGUGAUUAAAGCAACCCUUCACUGAAUCGUCAAGAGGGCCUUAGUUUCAACUUGCCCUCCAUUUGCAGUCUUUCCCGCCACAAGUCGAGAACACAACAUCAAGGGCGCUAUCAAGCUAAUGAGUCUGAGACAAAACUGUUGUCAUAGCAAUAGACAAAGUUCUUUUGUCUAUGAUUGAGAACUCCUGCACGACUGAGACCUUACACAAACUAAUUUGUUCCUUUACCAC
rnacentral:lncRNA from 1 species